ensembl:misc_RNA Metazoa_SRP Metazoan signal recognition particle RNA
GCUGGGUGCGGUGGUGCAUGCCUGUAGUCCCAGCUAUAGGGAGGCUGAGGCUGGAGGAUUGCUUGGGUCCAGGAGUUCUGGACUGUAGUGCGCUAUUCCGAUUGAGUGUCUGCACUAAGUUCGCCAUCAAUAUGGUGACCUCCCGGGAGUGGGGGACCACCAGGUUGCCUAAGGAGGGGUGAACUGGCCCACGUAGGAAAUGGAGCAGGUCAAAACUCCCAUGCUGAUCAAUAGUGGGAUUGAACCUGUGAAUAGCCACUGUACUCCAGCCUGGGCAACAUAGCGAGACCCCGUCUCUU